CCUACGGGUGGCUGCAGUGGGGAAUUUUUCGCAAUGGGGGCAACCCUGACGAAGCAAUGCCGCGUGAAUGAAGAAGGCCUUCGGGUUGUAAAGUUCUUUCGUGGGAGACGAAAAGGUAAUCGCUAAUAUCGGUUACUGUUGACGUGAACCCAAGAAGAAGCACCGGCUAACUCCGUGCCAGCAGCGCGGUAAUAC
rnacentral:rRNA from 1 species